AGAAUUUAAAUAGUAUGAAUACUAAUCAAAUUUGAGUAAAUAAUUUUUGUAAAUACCUUACUCGUUGCCGUUACCAUCCCUACUCACGCCUCGUUCUUCCUCACCCUCAACUCGCCAAUUUCAACACCUUGUUCUUCCUAUUGCUUCAUGCCUUUCCCUAUUAACAAAGACAAGUGACGAUGCCGCCUCAUAAGUUGCAAUGAUUCUUCGCCCUCAUUUGGCUUCUACAAUUCUAGCCUGGGCAUCUGACUAGGUUUUGCGAUUCCGGUCUGACCAUUCUUUACCUUCAGUUGAGUUCCUAAAUUUUCUCAUUU
rnacentral:misc_RNA from 1 species